CCGAACUCCCAGCUCUAAGGCGGCGGCUUUCCCGCCCCUCCCCCAGCUCCUCCCAUCACCCGCCCCUGGAGCGGGGAAGGAGCCGGGGCGGAGCAAACAAGUUCUCAAGAGAAACUGACGACGCCGCCCGGGUGUUGGAUUGGACAGUGAAUCUCCGUGGAGGCCCUGGCCCUGCAGCGUGAUCCCUGACACUGAACAAUGGGGAGACCCAGGGAAAACCCUGACAGCACAGCCUCACCUCGUCAGGCUGCAACUGUGCCCAAAGCCACCCCGGCAACACCUCGUUCCUCUACCUCCUCCACCCAGGCCAAGACACCACCCACAGCCAGCCGACCGAAGAGUGCUCAGGCUGCUGGGAGUUCAGGUACCAGCAGGGCACAGACAGACAAGCCAACCAGCAGCACCACUGCCAGAAGAGCUGGGCAAAGCUCUUCCCAAUCAAGGGCCACUGCAGCACAUGGCAGUGAUCAAGGAGACACCAAGAUAAGCUACAGAGUGACAGCUAAGAACCCCUCAGUGACUAGUGGAAGGAAACCCUGCUCCACAACAGCUAAAGCACCUGCCGGUGUCGACCCCUGCCUGGAAAGGAAUCAAUCCAGUCGCUCUCGGGCCAAUACCGCUGGCUGGGGCAAAGAAAGCAAAUUUCCCUCCCUGCUGACAACAGAAGAUGUGGUGAAAGUGGAGAGGGAAACCCGGGGCCAGAGGGACAAUCCCAAGUGGUAUGAGUGGCGGAAAAACCGCAUCACAGCCUCAGUCGCACCCAGGAUUGCUAACAGCAAGUUUGUCAAUGGCAAGAGCUCAGAGGUGCCCCAGUCUUACCUUAAGGCUGUGGUGAGCUCUGGUUCUAAAGUGCAGACACCAGCCAUGUCCUGGGGCACCCAAAACGAGAAAAAGGCAGUGCAGGCAUAUGAGGAGCUCCAAUUCAGGAGGACAGGUAGGCCCGUGAAGGUGGAGGAGUGUGGCCUCUUCAUUCACCAAGAGAAGGAGUGGCUCGCAGCCAGCCCAGAUGGAAUUAUCAGAGAAGCAGAUACAGGGAAGCUACUGGGGCUGCUGGAGGUCAAGUGUCCCUAUAAGCACAGAGACAAGACAGUGAAAGAGGCCUGUAAGGACAAAGCCUUCUGCCUGGAAGUGGAUGGUGAGUCCUACGCCUUGAAGAGAAACCAUCCCUACUACACUCAGGUGCAGUGCCAGCUGGCAACAACGGGCUUUGACAGUGCUGAUUUUGUGGUUCACACCAACAAAGAUACAGUCAUCACCUCAGUGGACUUUGAUGCAGUGUUCUGGGAGAGAACUGAGCCCAAGCUGGAGAAGUUCUACAUGGAGGCUGUGAUUCCCCACCUGGAGGAGAAGAGAAGCAAUUCAGUUUGGGCUAGGGAAGAAUAAAGUAAUGGGGACAUCUGGCCACUACCCCACCAGGGACUUCUGUCUUCACCAGAUGCCAUGAUAGUAGUUUAAUGGACUCUCUCUGGUUCUGCCACAGCAGAACUAUGGGAUCUAGAACCUGAUGCCUGCGGAGUCCUGGUCUACAUUUAAAAAUUAGAUCUAACUAGCUACAUUUGUUCCCUAAAUGGUUUAGUUAGGUCUACCUAACCUCCAGUGUAGACAUGGCUAGGUCUUUUAAUGAGCUAGUUACUGCUCAGUGUAGGAACUAUCUUCAGUACAGCUGCAGCACUUCUGCAGUGCUGCUGUAGUGGCUGUAAUAUAGACAUUGCUUGAGACUGGACUCUUCCUUCCUAUUAAGAUUGUAAGCUCCACGGGGCAAGGAUUGCAUCUCUCUUUGUCUCAUACAGGAGUGGAGACACAGGGAAUGAUUUUCUGGUUCUGUCUCAGCCCUUGGCAUUUAGUGCUCUGGGACUGAACUGAUUCCCUGUCUGUGUAGACAAAUUCACUGUUCUCUCAACAGCUGCCCUCUUUUAAACUUCUUAUUCCAGUGCCUGGCAGCUGCUGCAAAGUAUCCCAUCUCUAGGGAAAUAAGUUGGUCUGUCUGUGAAAUGGUCUAGUUCAGGUUUUAGAGAAGAAGAUGGGUGAGAUAAUCUCACCAAUCUUGUCUCUCAUAUCCUGGGACCAACACGGUUACAACAAAACUGCAUAGUUCAAGGUUGUCUGGGGAGGGGGCUGGAUUCCAUUUAAUGGUCUGGGGUGUAAGUUCAAGACUAAACUUGAAUUUUAGUCUACCAAGGAAUCCUUGCUGCUGUCGAUGGCAGGUUUGCCAAAGAUCAAACAAAAGGUAUGGACUUUAAGGGGUAACUGAACUUGUAAUUAUGGGCCGCAUUGUCAAUUCAGCAUCAGACAAAGGGAUAAUGUGUUCUGCUUUAGAUGGACUGCUGUUUCUUCUCUUGCCAUCUUCCCUCACAACCUCUUUCCCACAGUCUGUCAAAAUGAUCAGCAGUUAACUGCUUACAUUUAAAGUGUUAUUAGGGUUUGGAGUCCACCCCUUACCCCUUGAGAAUGUGAACCAUGAGCACAGGCGUGUACCUGGUGCGGUUCACCCCAUCCCUGAUGCCUGUCCCUUUUGUGGCAUGAGGGAGACCCCAGCUUGUGUGCACCAGGUUGCGGCCUCUUUUCUGGCUCCUCUUGGACCCACUUUUGCGUUUUCUCCCACCUUCUCAUCUACACACCCAAUCUGUGGCCCCACAAAGUCAUGGGACCUCUUCGUCAACUUCCUAGUGAUGGCGAAAGUGGGCAUCUAUAACACCAGGGAGAGGAUGUUGGCUGAGGGGGUUCUCUGCAACUGUGGGGCCUAUUUCUGUUCCAUUCUCUGAGGGGUCUUCAGUCAUGGGUGGACUUAUGCCCAUCUGCUUCCCCUGAACCCAACAGGACCCCAUGAGAAUUUGGGGGAAGGGGUUACAUCUCAGAGCUACUAUGUCAGGCUGUCUGCAGAUGCAGGAAGACAACACUGCAUCCAUCAAUUAACCUUUCAAAUGUGAACCAAGUAUAACUACACAACCGUGAGAUUCCCCAGAUACUUUUUUUUAAAUUAAAGUGUGUUUAUUCAAUAGCUGACUCUGCCAUGUGUGUCCCAGCAGUAUGUAGAGUAGCCUAUGUCUUUGAAAUCACUGCUUUGGUUAAUUUCAGUUGCUCCUGUUUUGGAAACUAAAGUGUCUAAAUAAAAUAUUCACUUUGGGUGA